rnacentral:rRNA from 1 species
UACGAAGGGGGCUAGCGUUGCUCGGAAUCACUGGGCGUAAAGGGUGCGUAGGCGGGUCUUUAAGUCUGGGGUGAAAUCCUGGAGCUCAACUCCAGAACUGCCUUUGAUACUGAAGAUCUUGAGUUCGGGAGAGGUGAGUGGAACUGCGAGUGUAGAGGUGAAAUUCGUAGAUAUUCGCAAGAACACCAGUGGCGAAGGCGGCUCACUGGCCCGAUACUGACGCUGAGGCACGAAAGCGUGGGGAGCAAACGGG